UGUGGUUAAAAAGCUCGUAGUUGGAUCUCAACAGCCUUGAAGCGGUUAACUUUGUAGUUUUACUGCUUUAUAGGCUGUGCUUUUGCUGGAGGUUUAGGGGUGCUCUUGAUCGAGUGUCUCUGGAUGCCAGCAGGUUUACUUUGAAAAAAUUAGAGUGCUCAAAGCAGGCUAAAAUGCCUGAAUAUUCGUGCAUGGAAUAAUAGAAUAGGAUGUCGAUCCUAUUUUGUUGGUUUUCGGGACUCGACAUAAUGAUAAAUAGGGACAGUCGGGGGCAUUUGUAUUCAAACGACAGAGGUGAAAUUCUUGGACCGUUUGAAGACAAACUACUGCGAAAGCAUUUGCCAAGAAUGUUUUCAUUAAUCAAGAACGAAAGUUAGAGGUUCGAAGGCGAUUAGAUACCGCCCUAGUUCUAACCAUAAACGAUGCCAGCUAGCGAUCUGCCUGCGUUUUUACUGUAGACUGGGCAGGAAGCUUCCGGGAAACCAAAGCAUUUGGGUUCCAGGGGAAGUAUGGUUGCAAAGCUGAAACUUAAAGGAAUUGACGGAAGGGCACCACCAGGAGUGGAGCCUGCGGCUUAAUU
rnacentral:rRNA from 1 species